UUUUUGAGUCUAAACUGUAUGUGACCCUGAAGUGACCUGUAUGCGCAAAAGAGAUCCUGAUGUAAUACUUGACCACGCAGGCACACACUGUGUUUACAGAAGUAACACACCUGGGAUGCAGAAUUAUGACAUUUGUCACAUUUCAAUGACGUAAAAG